rnacentral:rRNA from 1 species
AUUGAACGCUGGCGGCAGGCCUAACACAUGCAAGUCGAGCGGAUGAAGGGAGCUUGCUCCUGGAUUCAGCGGCGGACGGGUGAGUAAUGCCUAGGAAUCUGCCUGGUAGUGGGGGAUAACGUCCGGAAACGGGCGCUAAUACCGCAUACGUCCUGAGGGAGAAAGUGGGGGAUCUUCGGACCUCACGCUAUCAGAUGAGCCUAGGUCGGAUUAGCUAGUUGGUGGGGUAAAGGCCUACCAAGGCGACGAUCCGUAACUGGUCUGAGAGGAUGAUCAGUCACACUGGAACUGAGACACGGUCCAGACUCCUACGGGAGGCAGCAGUGGGGAAUAUUGGACAAUGGGCGAAAGCCUGAUCCAGCCAUGCCGCGUGUGUGAAGAAGGUCUUCGGAUUGUAAAGCACUUUUAGUUGGGAGGAAGAGCAGUAAGUUAAUACCUUGCUGUUUUGACGGUACCAACAGAAUAAGCACCGGCUAACUUCGUG